rnacentral:rRNA from 1 species
CCUACGGGUGGCAGCAGUGAGGAAUAUUGGUCAAUGGACGAGACUCUGAACCAGCCAAGUCGCGUGAAGGAUGACUGCCCUAUGGGUUGUAAACUUCUUUUAUAAAGGAAUAAAACGAGGCACGUGUGCCUUUUUGCAUGUACUUUAUCAAUCAGGAUGGGCUAACUCGGUGCCAGCAGCCGCGGUAAUCCGGAGGAUGCGAGCGUUAUCCGGGUUUAUUGGGUUUAAAGGGUGGGCAGGCGGAGGCACAAGUCAGCGGUAAAAGCGCGGGGUUCAACCCCGCUCCGCCGUUGAAACUGUGUCCCUUGAGUGCGCGAGGGGUAGGCGGAAUGCGGGGUGUAGCGGUGAAAUGCAUAGAUAUCACGCAGAACGCCGAUCGCGAAGGCAGCCUACCGGCGCGUAACUGACGCUCAGGCACGAAAGCGUGGGUAUCGAACAGGAUUAGAUACCCCAGUAGUC